GAUAUGCUAGUUUAAAAAAACAUUAAAUUGUAAAUUUAAAAUUAAUUAUUUUGCAUAUUA
rnacentral:tRNA from 1 species